rnacentral:rRNA from 1 species
GACGAACGCUGGCGGCGUGCCUAAUACAUGCAAGUCGAACGCAGUGGGGACGGGUGAGUAACACGUGGGUAACCUCCCAUCAGAGGGGAUAACACUGGGACACAGGUGCUAAACCGAUCCGGAUGGAUGGACCGGCGGUGCAUUAGCUAGUUGGUGAGGUAACGGCUCACCAGGGCCAAUAGGCAGAGCCUACCUGAUAGGGUGUUCGGCCACACGGGGACGGAGCCAGGGCCCUGACUCCAACGGGCGGCGUCCGUGGGUAAUGUUCGGCAAUGGACGAAAGUCGGACCGGGCAACGCGGCGGAAGGGAAGAAGGUUUUCGGAUCGUAACACUCGUUUGUUAGAGAAGCGGUAUCUAACCAGAAAGGGACGGCUAACUACGGGCCAGCAGCCGCGGUAAUUC